GUUUUUUUUUUUUAGCUAGGAGAAUGAUUUUUAUUUUAAAGGACGAAUUUUUUUCACAAUACAAACAGUUGACCAUUUUGUUUUCUUUUCUGGACCUUACUUUCACCAGAUUAAUUAUCUGAGCAAAUUUUAAAAGUCUGAUUUGCUGGACUUCUUUUUUUUUUUUUAAUAACCCAUACUGCUCUCUUGUGCUCCUCACAUGAAGGAAUAGUCUGGCUAUUUUGACAGCCGAAAUUUUCAUACACUUUUUUGAUGCGGUGGCUAGGCAAUAGCACUUUUAUUUGAACGUGUGAGUCAGUGAAAAUGAAAAGAAGUUUUAAUUCUAGAUACCUUAGAUUUUUAGACGCCAGCAAUGAUAAAUUGAGCGUUCGUGCCGCAUAUACGUUUUAAAAUGUGAGCUGAGGAAUGCUUUCCCCGGCAGCUUCGGAGAGAGCCCAAGCAGAUGUGUGAAGCUCACCAUCUAAAUAGAUAUACCUGAGGACAAGUAGCUUUAAGGUCUGGGGAGCCCAAUGGGAAUGCACUAGUGCAGCUGUAUGCCGUUUAAGUGCAUUGAUGACCAAGACGUUGUUUGUUGGUUCAAAGGUCAUUUUUGCCCUUUGCAGAUUCCAGGAGAGACCAGAACGUUACGUGGUUUCAUUCCAGUAAUUCAUGUUGUAUUAUCUAAAGUUGUAGAAAUGCAAAACCAUUUUUUCCUUGUAUCAGUUUGCAGCUAAAAACAGAAGGGCUGGAGCCAAGGAAGAGAGCGACAGCGCGACAAAACAAAACAAACAAAGCCAGAGCGAAGCGUGAUUUCCAAAUGGAGAAUUUAAAGUCACAACAGUGGUUAGUUCUGCAGUAUUAGCCAUAUUAGCAGGUUCUGCGCAAAGGCACAGUCACGUUAUAUCGCAGCCCAUAGAGUUACAUUCCAAGGAGCAUCCUGCCUAGCCCCCCGCGUGAGUGCGGCACCUCUGCCCGGCGCACCUUUGCCUCUUUAUCCCCUUUCCGCCUGGCGGCAAACAGUUUGCUGCCUUUUACGUGUGGGAAAAAUCCCAGCCAAGCAACAGGCUGCGGGGAGGCGGCACGAGGGGUUUUCUCCGCAUCCCUUCAGCGGCGGCCGUGGAAAUCUCUCUUUGCACCCGUUCCCUCUGCUCGCCACGCUCACCGAUAUUGUCAGCCGCACAGUAAUCUCUCUGACAGCCUGGGAAGCUUGUUUAUAGCCAAUAUUCCCCUGUCUAUUAAACCGGGGCCAGAUCCACCUCAUCUGAGGCAAAUUGUCCCAGUUCUCUUCAAGUCCCGAUCUACCUAAGCUGAGGCUGUGACCCUGAACGUCCGCUCUGCAGCAACCGCAAGACCAAAGACAGUAGCAGCAAAAAUGAAAAAGGGAGGGAAAAAAGUGGAAUACCCAAAUAAGCGAGUCUUUCGCUCUGUUCUGGGUGUCAGAGGGCUACUCUGGAGGUGGGAACAAGCCGGGUCGAACUCGCUCAUGCCACCCGUACGGAUCGAGCCCCGCACAGCGCCUCCCAGCCCUCAGCGUCGGUGUGCUGAACACGAAGGGUUUUAAAACAAAAUCCGAGGAAGUAACUGCCUUUGACCUAUCCAGAUACUGAAAUUGCUGUGUCUGCAAAUCACUUCUUCUUUGCCGUGAAUUUUCAGUUACAUUUCAGCCCGUUACUGGCUCAGCUUUUGCUGCUGAUUAUUUAUGCCUUGCAACGCUCUUUUGUAAAUCCUGCAAUAUUUCUGAGCUCUUAAUUUAAGUCCUGUUAAUGUCCUUUGCAAAAGUUAUGUUGUUGGGUUUUUCAUAUUGCAAUGUUUUUACUUGAGUGCAUACAUUGAUAAAAUGCCAACACGACCGUGAACGGGCCCAGAAAAAUGAAUGUUCAAUUAAACAGCUCACUGCUCUUUUGACAUCUUAAUUUCUUCUGCUUUUUUACUUUUUUUAAAAGAGAAUUAGUAGGAACUCUCUCUCUCAUCAAAUUCCAAGUUUCUGUGUAAUUCAAUUAUGCCUGUCUACAUCCUCUUACUAUUUCUUUAGCUUUACUGAACUGAUACAUAAAGUUGUUUGUUCCCUUUCAGAGAAGACUCUGAAUCACCCCAGAAUUAGCUAUAUUUCUGUAUGUUUGCAUAUGUCCAAUAAUAUCACUUACACACCUUCAAAAAUAAAAAGUUCUAACCUGAUGUCGUUACA
ensembl:lncRNA